rnacentral:rRNA from 1 species
AUGGAGGUUGCCAUAUCUGCAGUUGCAGGUGAAAUUGUGAGUCGGUUCAUCUCCUUCCUGAUGAACAAGUACCACUCCUCCAGCCAUGCACAGCCAGAGGAGAAGGUGGUAGAGAGGCUGCAGCAUCUCCUGAUGAGAGCUGGCGCCAUUGUCGAGGAGGCGGACGCUCGAUACAUAACAAACUCUGGGAUGAUGAUGCAGCUCAAGAUGCUCUCGGAGGCCAUGUACCGAGGUCACAGCCUGCUCGAUGCCUCGAGGUACCGAGCCCUCCAAGACAGCGCAGGCUUCGACAAGGUUAGCAGCAACGACCCAUCUAGCAGCAGUUUGUAUUUUGCCAUUCCCCUCAAGCGUUCUAGAACAGCUACGGAGAAAGACGACAAGGCCAUGCGCCUCGGGUCACAUGGUGCCUUGGAAAAUUUAGAAAUUGCUGUUGCUAACAUGGCUGAGUUUGUUGUGCUUCUGGGUGGAUGUGAGCGCAUGUCUCGAAGGCCAUAUGAUGUUUAUCUUUACACCGACAACUUCAUGUUCAGCCGACACGCUGAAAAGCAAAAGCUCUUGAGCUUCUUGUUGGAGCAAAACGACCCUCCUGGUGAUCACGCACCGGCAGUUAUUCCGGUGAUAGGUGGUGUCGCAGUUAGGAAGAAAACUUUGGUUGCUCAUGUGUGUGGUGACGAAAGGGUUCGCUCACGCUUCUCCUCUAUUUUGCACUUGAACGGAGACAGCCAUUUGAAGAUGCUUGACGAUGGAAGGACCAUGUUUGGGAGCACAACGCUGGUAAUUAUUGAGUUUGCUUCUGAUGUAGGCGACGAAGACUCGAAAAACUUUCAGCCGUUUUUCAGAAGGAUGGGCAGAGGAAGCAAGAUCAUCAUCGUAAGUAAACUUAAAAGAUUAGCGCGGUUUGGAUCGGUGAAGCCAAUUUUCCUUAGCGCUCUAUCUUACCAUGAGUUGAGGUACCUUUUCAAGACACUAGCAUUUGGAAGUGCAGACCCGGCAGAACAUCCACGGCUAGUACAAAUAGCAGAUGAAAUCGCCAAGGUGCUGCACAGUGUGCAAGGUUCACUUGUGGAAGCAAAUGUGUUUGCGGAUGUGCUGAGAAGGAACCUCGAUGUUCAGUUCUGGUGUUGCAUACUGAACAAGGGGAUCAGACUGGUUAAAAGAAACCUGUCCAUAUACGGAGUGCACCCAACCCUGCUUAUAGAGCAAGGCCAGCCAGUGGACAUAACGGACCUCGCCUCGCAUCCACUUUGCAUGAUACCGCACAAAAUCAAGGAGGAAUCGCCAAGCGUGUCGUUAGGGGCACUUGUAGCAGACCCUAGCAUCAGACCGGAAGGAGACUUCAGCCUGGUAGCAUGGGAAUCAAGGAUACCCCCUCAUAAAUCAUUUGUUCAUUAUGUCACAAGUCGUGCUCAGGAUACACAUGAAGGUAGCAGCACCUCUUCGGGGAGGAGGAAGCGCCGAGGCGUGCCAUUCUAA